AACGAACGCUGGCGGCAGGCCUAACACAUGCAAGUCGAACGAAGUCUUCGGACUUAGUGGCGGACGGGUGAGUAACACGUGGGAACGUGCCUUUAGGUUCGGAAUAACCCAGGGAAACUUGUGCUAAUACCGAAUGUGCCCUUCGGGGGAAAGAUUUAUCGCCUUUAGAGCGGCCCGCGUCUGAUUAGCUAGUUGGUGAGGUAAAGGCCAACCAAGGCGACGAUCAGUAGCUGGUCUGAGAGGAUGAUCAGCCACAUUGGGACUGGGACACGGCCCAAACUCCGACGGGAGGCAGCAGUGGGGAAUCUUGCGCAAUGGGCGAAAGCCUGACGCAGCCAUGCCGCGUGAAUGAUGAAGGUCUUAGGAUUGUAAAAUUCUUUCACCGGGGACGAUAAUGACGGUACCCGGAGAAGAAGCCCCGGCUAACUUCGUGCCAGCCGCCGCGGUAAGAC
rnacentral:rRNA from 1 species